GGGUUAGUCGGGUCCUAAGCUGAGGCCGACAGGCGUAGGCGAUGGAUAACAGGUUGAUAUUCCUGUACCACCUAUAAUCGUUUUAAUCGAUGGGGGGGACGCAGUAGGAUAGGCGAAGCGUGCGAUUGGAUUGCACGUCUAAGCAGUAAGGCUGAGUAUUAGGCAAAUCCGGUACUCGUUAAGGCUGAGCUGUGAUGGGGAGAAGACAUUGUGUCUUCGAGUCGUUGAUUUCACACUGCCGAGAAAAGCCUCUAGAUAGAAAAUAGGUGCCCGUACCGCAAACCGACACAGGUAGUCAAGAUGAGAAUUCUAAGGUGAGCGAGCGAACUCUCGUUAAGGAACUCGGCAAAAUGACCCCGUAACUUCGGGAGAAGGGGUGCUCUUUAGGGUUAACGCCCAGAAGAGCCGCAGUGAAUAGGCCCAAGCGACUGUUUAUCAAAAACACAGGUCUCUGCUAAACCGUAAGGUGAUGUAUAGGGGCUGACGCCUGCCCGGUGCUGGAAGGUUAAGAGGAGUGGUUAGCUUCUGCGAAGCUACGAAUCGAAGCCCCAGUAAACGGCGGCCGUAACUAUAACGGUCCUAAGGUAGCGAAAUUCCUUGUCGGGUAAGUUCCGACCCGCACGAAAGGCGUAACGAUUUGGGCACUGUCUCAACGAGAGACUCGGUGAAAUCAUAGUACCUGUGAAGAUGCAGGUUACCCGCGACAGGACGGAAAGACCCCGUGGAGCUUUACUGUAGCCUGAUAUUGAAAUUCGGCACAGCUUGUACAGGAUAGGUAGGAGCCUUUGAAACGUGAGCGCUAGCUUACGUGGAGGCGCUGGUGGGAUACUACCCUAGCUGUGUUGGCUUUCUAACCCGCACCACUUAUCGUGGUGGGAGACAGUGUCAGGCGGGCAGUUUGACUGGGGCGGUCGCCUCCUAAAAGGUAACGGAGGCGCUCAAAGGUUCCCUCAGAAUGGUUGGAAAUCAUUCAUAGAGUGUAAAGGCAUAAGGGAGCUUGACUGCGAGACCUACAAGUCGAGCAGGGUCGAAAGACGGACUUAGUGAUCCGGUGGUUCCGCAUGGAAGGGCCAUCGCUCAACGGAUAAAAGCUACCCCGGGGAUAACAGGCUUAUCUCCCCCAAGAGUUCACAUCGACGGGGAGGUUUGGCACCUCGAUGUCGGCUCAUCGCAUCCUGGGGCUGUAGUCGGUCCCAAGGGUUGGGCUGUUCGCCCAUUAAAGCGGUACGCGAGCUGGGUUCAGAACGUCGUGAGACAGUUCGGUCCCUAUCCGUCGUGGGCGUAGGAAAUUUGAGAGGAGCUGUCCUUAGUACGAGAGGACCGGGAUGGACAUACCUCUGGUGUACCAGUUGUCGUGCCAACGGCAUAGCUGGGUAGCUAUGUGUGGACGGGAUAAGUGCUGAAAGCAUCUAAGCAUGAAGCCCCCC
rnacentral:rRNA from 1 species